GUAAAAAUUGUCAUUGCAAUCCUUCCAAUUUCCAUGAUUCCAGACAUUGUUUACAAGUAUGUUAGCACAAUAUGUGACAUGACAAAGAAAUGGCUCGACUCUUCUCUGGAUUGUAAGCCGUUUGGAUAGAACUAUAUUAGAAAAUGAAAUUCAAUAACAAGAUUAAGAAAAUGCCAACAGCAAAUACCACUUUACAGAAAGACCUCAAGGACCUGAACAGAGGAAUCAACCCCCAAAUUUGCUACCCAAUGAUCUGCCAUUUGCAUCAAUAAAUCAAUCUUUUGCAUUCUCCCACCACCCACCAAAGAAUUUGAACAAAGAAUCUUCAAUUUCAAUAAAAGUUCCCCUAAAGCAUCAAUUAUAUGAACUUGAAAAUGCUGAAAAUUCAGGAAGAGCAAGUUUCAUAUCUAUCUUGGAUCCUCAAAAGCUGCCUUCUCUUGAACACCAAGAACCCAACAACACCAAUCUGCAAAAUCGCUGCAAUACCCACAAACAACAACCCAAUCUUCUGCCCUGUGUUCAUUUCGUGAUUACUUUGCAUUGUUGAAAGUGAUUGAUGCCCUGCCAUGUUCCCGUUUGAGGAGGUUUCGCGUAACCUAUUCCUUGGUGGCGGUGGCGGCGGCGGUGGCGGCUGAGGACUGUUUUUAGAACGUGGUGGAGAUGGUGAUAUGCGUGGAGGUGGUGGUGAUUUUGGUGCUGGAGAUGAUGGUGAUUGCGGUGCCGGAGGUGAUAUGGAUGGUGGCGGAGGGGAGGGUGAAGAUGUUGAUGGUGAAGGUGAAGGUGGAGUUGGAGAUGGCGGUGGUGGAGAUGGCGGUGGAGGAGACGGUGGUGGCGGUGGCGGCGGCGGAGGAGGAGGAGGAGGAGGUAGAGAAGAUGAUUUGUGUUUGUGUCGCGUGAGAGAUACCGAAGUGUUGGAGGAAAAACGACGGAGCAGAGAUGGGAAGAGAAGAAGAGAGGUCGCCGGAGAAUGAGAGAGGAGGCGGUGGUGGAAUGAAACAAUGAAGAAAUGAGAAGGCCGUAGGGCCAUGAAACGGAGGAGGGUUAUAUAUUUGGGUA
rnacentral:misc_RNA from 1 species